CUAAGGAAGCUGAAGUGAUGGAGAGUAGAGAUACUAAGAGAAGUCACAAAAGCAAGCGGAAGCACACUGAGAAACUUUGUUUAGUUUUGAGGGUAGUACCUCAAAGAGCUAGUACAUUGAAAACUGAAUAUAAUCCAAGUAAAAAACCGAGAAAAUCAAAGAGAACAGAUUGUAAGGCGACCGAGAAGAGAAUUCUUGAGUAA
rnacentral:misc_RNA from 1 species